GUACAUUUGGUUCACAAAUGGUCGGUGGAAGGCUGGUUAAACCGUUUGGUUUUGACCACUAGGACCCGGGUUCGAUUCCCGCAUUGGACA